GAGGCUGUAGCUCAGUGGUAAGAACGCCUGCUUAGCAGGCACAAGUCCCUGGGUUCAAUUCCCAGUACCUCCA
rnacentral:tRNA from 1 species